GACGAACGCUGGCGGCGUGCUUAACACAUGCAAGUCGAACGAUGAUGCCCAGCUUGCUGGGUGGAUUAGUGGCGAACGGGUGAGUAACACGUGAGUAACCUGCCCCUGACUCUGGGAUAAGCGUUGGAAACGACGUCUAAUACUGGAUAUGACUGCCGGCCGCAUGGUCUGGUGGUGGAAAGAUUUUUUGGUUGGGGAUGGACUCGCGGCCUAUCAGCUUGUUGGUGAGGUAAUGGCUCACCAAGGCGACGACGGGGAGCCGGCCUGAGAGGGGGACCGGCCACACUGGGACUGAGACACGGCCCAGACUCCUACGGGAGGCAGCAGUGGGGAAUAUUGCACAAUGGGCGAAAGCCUGAUGCAGCAACGCCGCGUGAGGGAUGACGGCCUUCGGGUUGUAAACCUCUUUUAGUAGGGAAGAAGCGAAAGUGACGGUACCUGCAGAAAAAGCACCGGCUAACUACGUGCCAGCCGCCGCGGUAA
rnacentral:rRNA from 1 species